CCCAGACCUCUACUGUAAGCAAAUUCCUUCCGAACUUCUAUUGCAGGCGGACUUCAGCCGAGCCUCUAUAAUAAGCGGUCUCCAUCCGGACUUUCACAAGAACCGGACUCCGCCCGAACUUCCAUAGUGGAUGGAUUCCAGACGAACUUCUAUAACGGAUGGGCUCCAGCAGCCGGAUCUCUACUCUGAACCUCUUCCGGACUUCAUCGAGGAUCGAGCUUCUCCCGCAGUGGGACUUCUACAGUAAGCGGUCUACUCC
rnacentral:lncRNA from 1 species